rnacentral:rRNA from 1 species
UACAGAGGAGGCGAGCGUUAUCCGGAGUCAUUGGGCGUAAAGGGUACGUAGGCGGCUAGUCAAGUCUGAGGUUAAAGACCACAGCUUAACUGUGGAAAGGCCUUGGAAACUGACUGGCUAGAGUGGGGCAGGGGUUGCGGGAAUUCCCGGUGUAGCGGUGAAAUGCGUAGAUAUCGGGAAGAACACCUGAGGCGAAAGCGCGCAACUGGGCCCUGACUGACGCUGAGGUACGAAAGCUAGGGGAGCUAAUGGG